CGCGUGGGAAUCUACCCAUCUCUACGGAAUAACUCAGGGAAACUUGUGCUAAUACCGUAUACGCCCUUCGGGGGAAAGAUUUAUCGGAGAUGGAUGAGCCCGCGUUGGAUUAGCUAGUUGGUGGGGUAAAGGCCUACCAAGGCGACGAUCCAUAGCUGGUCUGAGAGGAUGAUCAGCCACACUGGGACUGAGACACGGCCCAGACUCCUACGGGAGGCAGCAGUGGGGAAUAUUGGACAAUGGGCGCAAGCCUGAUCCAGCCAUGCCGCGUGAGUGAUGAAGGCCCUAGGGUUGUAAAGCUCUUUCACCGGUGAAGAUAAUGACGGUAACCGGAGAAGAAGCCCCGGCUAACUUCGUG
rnacentral:rRNA from 1 species